rnacentral:rRNA from 1 species
CGGACGGGUGAGUAACGCGUGGAAAACCUGCCGUAUACUGGGGGAUAACACUUAGAAAUAGGUGCUAAUACCGCAUAAGCGCACAGCUUCGCAUGAAGCGGUGUGAAAAACUCUGGUGGUAUACGAUGGCUCCGCGUCUGAUUAGCUAGUUGGUGGGGUAAUGGCCUACCAAGGCAACGAUCAGUAGCCGGCCUGAGAGGGUGAACGGCCACAUUGGGACUGAGACACGGCCCAAACUCCUACGGAAGGCAGCAG